rnacentral:rRNA from 1 species
UAGAGGAAGUAAAAGUCGUAACAAGGUCUCCGUAGGUGAACCUGCGGAGGGAUCAUUACUGAGUUUACGCUCUACAACCCUUUGUGAACAUACCUAUAACUGUUGCUUCGGCGGGUAGGGUCUCCGUGACCCUCCCGGCCUCCCGCCCCCGGGCGGGUCGGCGCCCGCCGGAGGAUAACCAAACUCUGAUUUAACGACGUUUCUUCUGAGUGGUACAAGCAAAUAAUCAAAACUUUUAACAACGGAUCUCUUGGUUCUGGCAUCGAUGAAGAACGCAGCGAAAUGCGAUAAGUAAUGUGAAUUGCAGAAUUCAGUGAAUCAUCGAAUCUUUGAACGCACAUUGCGCCCGCCAGCAUUCUGGCGGGCAUGCCUGUUCGAGCGUCAUUUCAACCCUCAAGCUCUGCUUGGUGUUGGGGCCCUACAGCCGAUGUAGGCCCUCAAAGGUAGUGGCGGACCCUCCCGGAGCCUCCUUUGCGUAGUAACUUUACGUCUCGCACUGGGAUCCGGAGGGACUCUUGCCGUAAAACCCCCAAUUUUCCAAAGGUUGACCUCGGAUCAGGUAGGAAUACCCGCUGAACUUAAGCAUAUCAAUA